ACGGGAGGCAGCAGUGGGGGAUAUUGCUCAAUGGGGGAAACCCUGAUGCAGCGACGCCGCGUGAGUGAUGAAGUAUUUCGGUAUGUAAAGCUCUAUCAGCAGGAAAGAUAAUGACGGUACCUGACUAAGAAGCACCGGCUAAAUACGUGCCAGCAGCCGCGGUAAUACGGAGGAUGCGAGCGUUAUCCGGAUUUAUUGGGUUUAAAGGGUGCGUAGGCGGACUGUUAAGUCAGUGGUGAAAGGUCCCGGCUCAACCGGGGAGCUGCCAUUGAUACUGGCUGUCUGGAAUGCGGAUGCCGUGGGAGGAAUGUGUAGUGUAGCGGUGAAAUGCAUAGAUAUUACACAGAACACCGAUUGCGAAGGCAUCUCACGAAUCCGUUAUUGACGCUGAGGCACGAAAGCGUGGGGAUCAAACAGGAUUAGAUACCCUGGUA
rnacentral:rRNA from 1 species